UGGGGUUUGGUCUAAUUUUUCCCUUUAAAAAUCUUCCUUCUGACUGUUCGUUGCACCUACAACCAGAACACACUGGGAGAACAACGGAGGACGGCAACAGUGUCCAUCUGACAUCAGUCACUACAGGUCUCUUCUUCCUUUGGGCAGCAGCUGUGAAGAUGGCUGCUCCUUACUGGGUUUCUGUAGCGGUCGUUGUUUUGAUGACUGUUAGAAACGGUGAGACUGUUAUUGACCCAAACCAGCUCGCACCAAUUGUACAAGAAAUUCUGAACAGGUACACACCAAGCUACAUUGGUGCAGAUGGCAACAGAAAGUUCCCCAUGUUCAGUGUGGCUGUGAGCGUCCCACUCAAUAAAGACAAGUUUGAUAUGAGCAAAGUCACUGAUGAUGGUGAAGCUGUGAGGACGAAGAUUCUAAACUGUGAUGUAUACAUAGGUAACAGAGUGGUGGCAGCCACAGUGCUGAGAUGGCGCAAUGUUCUCUAUCAGUGUCCUAAUGAACGUGUACAGUGGCGUGAUGUCCCAAAAAAAUGUAAUAGAAAGGAGAUAAAUACAUGGGCUGAUAUUGACAAAUUUUGUGAUGUACAAUCUAUUGAAAGAAUUCUGUUUGCUCAGGCUGCUCAUGCUGAGUCCCGAACCCUGGACUAUUUCAAAGAUAAGGACAAAAUUAGGAAAAACUCCAAAGAUGAUCUGAUGGUUUUCUACGUCCGUGCCUCCCCAUGUGGUGAAACAUGUACCAACCCAAACAACGAUCGGAAUAUUCUCAGUAAAAUACAAGCAAUAACGAACUGGACGAAUUAUGUUGUUGUGUUUUCAGAUGUAUUUAGACCUGAUGAUAAGAAUAAUAAUCAGGAUCGUGUGAAUGAACUGCGUGGAUCACUUGAGAGGCUUGGGGACGCAAUCGCAGAUCAAGGGCCAAAGGUCAAAGAUAAAAGGUCAAAUGGUCUCCAGCAUAUAUUCCGAUGCUACAGGCAGCCAGAAAUGGAUGAAAUGAAGUGUCUUAUCUGCAAUACCAAUGGUGCUGUAGCACAUAAAUGUAUUUUAGGUGGUUAGCAACCAUGGGGAGAAAGAGAAUAAGACCAAGAGGAAGAGUAACAUGCAUCCAUGUUUAACUUUAAAUGUGUGUGUUCGUCACAGCAAGAUUAACAUGUGCUCCUGAAAUCACAGCUGCCAUCGUGCACUCUGGUCAUUCUAGUCCACGAUACUGUCUGUGCCUCUGAUUGUGUCUGUGAACUGAAACACAAACAGUGUGUGUGGAGCGAGUGUAAUCCAUUGAUAGCCUCUGAUACUGUUUCUGAUUAAAGCUUAAUAAACUGCAUUAAAACAUGUCACAGCUUG
ensembl:lncRNA